rnacentral:rRNA from 1 species
UUUUAUGGAGAGUUUGAUCCUGGCUCAGGAUGAACGCUGGCGGCAUGCCUAAUACAUGCAAGUCGAACGGAUCCCUUCGGGGAUUAGUGGCGAACGGGUGAGUAACACGUAAGCAACCUGCCUUGAAGUCGAGGAUAACCACGGGAAACUGUGGCUAAUACUGGAUAGUAUCACGAAUCGCAUGGUUUGUGAUUUAAAGACGCGUUUGCGUCACUUCAAGAGGGGCUUGCGGAGCAUUAGCUAGUUGGUAGGGUAACGGCCUACCAAGGCGACGAUGCUUAGCUGGACUGAGAGGUUGAACAGCCACACUGGG